UACGUAGGGUGCAAGCGUUGUCCGGAAUUAUUGGGCGUAAAGAGCUCGUAGGCGGUUUGUCGCGUCUGCUGUGAAAACUCGGGGCUUAACUCCGGGCCUGCAGUGGGUACGGGCAGACUAGAGUGCGGUAGGGGAGACUGGAAUUCCUGGUGUAGCGGUGAAAUGCGCAGAUAUCAGGAGGAACACCGGUGGCGAAGGCGGGUCUCUGGGCCGUAACUGACGCUGAGGAGCGAAAGCGUGGGGAGCGAACAG
rnacentral:rRNA from 1 species